rnacentral:tRNA from 2 species
GGUAAUAUGGCCGAGCAGGUAUUAGACUGUAAAUCUAACUACAGAGGUUGAGUCCUCUUAUUGCCA